AGAGUGAACGCUGGCGGUAGGCCUAACACAUGCAAGUCGAACGGCAGCACAGUAGGAGCUUGCUCUUACGGGUGGCGAGUGGCGGACGGGUGAGGAAUACAUCGGAAUCUACCUUUUGGUGGGGGAUAACGUAGGGAAACUUACGCUAAUACCGCAUACGCCCUUCGGGGGGAAAGCCGGGGACCAGCAAUGGCCUGGCGCUGAUAGAUGAGCCGAUGUCGGAUUAGCUAGUUGGUGAGGUAAUGGCUCACCAAGGCGACGAUCCGUAGCUGGUCUGAGAGGAUGAUCAGCCCACACUGGAACUG
rnacentral:rRNA from 1 species